rnacentral:rRNA from 1 species
AUACGAAGGGUGCAAGCGUUACUCGGAAUUACUGGGCGUAAAGCGUGCGUAGGUGGUUGUUUAAGUCUGUCGUGAAAGCCCUGGGCUCAACCUGGGAAUGGCGAUGGAAACUGGGCGACUAGAGUGUGGCAGAGGGUAGUGGAAUUCCUAGUGUAGCAGUGAAAUGCGUAGAGAUCAGGAGGAACAUCCGUGGCGAAGGCGACUGCCUGGGCCAACACUGACACUGAGGCACGAAAGCGUUGGGAGCAAACAGGAUUAGAUACCCUUGUAGUCCACGCCCUAAACGAUGCGAACUGGAUGUUGGGUGCAAUUUGACCCGCAGAAUCGAAGCUAACGCGUUAAGUUCGCCGCCUGGGGAGUACGGUCGCAAGACUGAAACUCAAAUGAAUUGACGUUG